rnacentral:rRNA from 1 species
GAUGAACGCUGGCGGCGUGCCUAAUACAUGCAAGUCGAGCGAACAGAUGAGGAGCUUUCUCCUCUGACUUUAUCGGCGGACGGGUGAGUAACACGUGGAUAACCUACCUAUAAGACUGGGAUAACUUCGGGAAACCGGAGCUAAUACCGGAUAAUAUAUUGAACCUCAUGGUUCAAUAGUUAAAGACGGUUUUUCUUUCACUUAUAGAUUGAUCCGCGUCGCAUUAGCUAGUUGGUAAGGUAACGGCUUACCAAGGCAACGAUGCGUAGCCGACCUGAGAGGGUGAUCGGACAGACUGGAAGUGAGACACGGUAGAGACACCUAGGGGAGGCAGCAGUAGGGAAUCUUACGCAAUGGGGGAAAGCCUGACGGAGCACCGCCGCGUGAGUGAUGAAGGUCUUCGGAUCGUAAAACUAUGUAAUUAGGGAAGAACAAAUGUGUAAGUAACUAUGAACGUAUUGACGGUACCUAAACAGAAAGCCACGGCUAACUACGUG